UUUUGGACAAUGGGCGCAAGCCUGAUCCAGCCAUUCCGCGUGAGUGAAGAAGGCCUUCGGGUUGUAAAGCUCUUUCGCAUGGGAAGAAAACUUACUUUCUAAUAAAGAGUGAGGUUGACGGUACCUUGAUAAGAAGCACCGGCUAACCACGUGCCAGCAGCCGCGGUAAUACGUAGGGUGCGAGCGUUAAUCGGAAUUACUGGGCGUAAAGCGUGCGCAGGCGGCUUUGUAAGUCAGAUGUGAAAUCCCCGAGCUCAACUUGGGAACUGCGUUUGAAACUACAAGGCUAGAAUAUGUCAGAGGGAGGUAGAAUUCCACGUGUAGCAGUGAAAUGCGUAGAGAUGUGGAGGAAUACCAAUGGCGAAGGCGAGCCCCCUGGGAGUAAUAUUGACGCUCAUGCACGAGG
rnacentral:rRNA from 1 species